CACGGGGUAGUUUAAUUAAAAUCUUAGCUUUGGGAGCCAAGGAUAGGAGUUAAACUCUCCUCUCUGUGA
rnacentral:tRNA from 2 species